rnacentral:rRNA from 1 species
UACGAAGGGGGCUAGCGUUGUUCGGAAUUACUGGGCGUAAAGCGCACGUAGGCGGAUAUUUAAGUCAGGGGUGAAAUCCCAGAGCUCAACUCUGGAACUGCCUUUGAUACUGGGUAUCUUGAGUAUGGAAGAGGUAAGUGGAAUUGCGAGUGUAGAGGUGAAAUUCGUAGAUAUUCGCAGGAACACCAGUGGCGAAGGCGGCUUACUGGUCCCAUAACUGGACGCU